UGGUGACAAUUUUAACUUAUAUAAAACUCAAAACAAAAUUAGAAAGAAUAAUGUUUUGUAGAGAGAGAGUCACACUCACACACACAUCCCUCUUCACUAGAAUUCCCAAAACUGAAAAUCAAAAACCCUAGCGAUGAUGCGAAGCCUCUUCUCCCGAAAUCUAAUCAACGUCGGCAAAUCUUCGAUAACAUCCGCCACCGCUGCCGCCGGCGGCCGAAGGUGCUAUGGCCUGGUACCAAUGGUGAUCGAGCAUUCAUCGAGAGGGGAGCGCGCCUAUGACAUAUUCUCUCGGUUGCUGAAAGAGCGCAUCAUUUGCAUUAAUGGCCCCAUCUCCGACGACACCGCCCACGUCGUCGUCGCGCAGCUGCUCUUCCUCGAGUCGGAGAAUCCCGCCAAGCCAAUUCACAUGUAUCUAAAUUCCCCGGGUGGUGCCGUUACUGCUGGUCUUGCUAUCUAUGACACGAUGCAGUAUAUCCGAUCUCCCAUCAAUACUAUAUGUCUUGGUCAAGCUGCAUCAAUGGCUUCUCUCCUACUGGCUGCUGGUGCAAAGGGUGAAAGGCGGUCUCUCCCAAAUGCUACAAUCAUGAUACAUCAGCCUUCUGGUGGGUACAGUGGGCAGGCUAAAGACAUAAGUAUCCAUACCAAGCAAAUUAUUCGUGUUUGGGAUGCAUUGAAUGCUCUUUACUGUAAGCACACCGGACAGUCACUUGAAGUAAUCCAAACAAACAUGGACCGUGAUUAUUUCAUGACAGCUGAUGAGGCCAAGGAGUUCGGAAUAAUAGAUGAGGUUAUAAAUGAAAGACCAAUGGCACUUGUGGCUGAUGCUGUAGCAAAUGAGGGAAAAGAUAAAGGUUCAAGUUAAUCUCAAUUUUUUGGGAGUUGCCUUGACCUGAAAUUCAAAUUGUCCCUUCAAACAGUUUCAGUCUCAGGCCUUGUUCACGAGUACUUGUCACCUUUAUUACUCCCAUCUAAUGGAUGCAAUUCUGACGUCGCUUUUUGGCGAAUUCUUGUUGGUCAAGAGGCACUAAGGGGGAAUUAAUUGACCAGAUCACAAUAAAUCUGUCACUGAUCUCGUUUUUCUAUCUAAUUGUGGCACAAUUGUCAUCAAGAAAAGAAUCAUCCUUUGUUCCUUGCUUCCCCCCUUACUCACUUCCCCUUUCUUCUCUCCGACCGUGUAGUGCACCUUUAUAUUUCCUUUCGAAAGUGAACUAGUUUCGGCAAUAAUUUCUUAUUUGCAAAUGCAAGCCUUGAAUUUGGAUGAUUA